GGUUGGUUGGUUUUUUUUGGCUUUUGGGGAUGGGACCGUGUAACCUAGCCUGGCCUCAAUGUCUUGAAGCACCCUGUGCCUUACCCUUCAAAGUGCUGUGACUAUGAGCAUGGCCAGCUUUUCUGUUUUUAUAUUCUAGACAAGUCCUUAUCAGCUUGAAGAUUGACAGAUUAUUUUUUUCUGCCAUUUUGUAGACUGCAUUUCUCUUGUUCUCUUCAGACCAACGGUUCCCUUUUCAGAAAGAUGAACUUUCUGAUUCAUAAACUCCACAGCCUAGAGAGGCUGACCAGGUCAUCUAGAACCUGUUCAGUGGUCUUUGGUUUCAAUCCUGGGAUGAGCACUGUGUUUGGGCUCUGGAUUCCCAUGAACGUCAUGAUGGUUCUUUAUCUGUAUCUGUCACAGAAUCCCUGAGGUUAGGUAAUUUAUAAAGAUGAGGCAUUUAUCUGUUCUUAGAAGUCCAAUUACAUGACGCCAGAUCUGCUCGGCAUGAGAUGGGCUUGCUUCCUGCCUUAUAACAGCACGGACAGGCCCACAUGCUGAGACACCUUGAAGUGCUAGAGAGAGUUAUUUAGAGGCCACUUCCUCAGUAACUCAUUGAUGUAUUUAAGAAGGCAGAGGCUCACCACCCCGUCAUCUCCCAAAGGUCCUGCCUUAAAAUGCCACUAACAUGACUUAGAAGAUUGAGUUUCUAGACAAAUAGAUGUCUCCUCUUCAAAGCUGAGCAGGCAUGGGCAACUUACCUGACUCCUCUGAUCCCUGGGUUUUCUUGUCAAAGAAAUGUAACAGCCAUAAGCUGGGCAGUGGUGGUACAUGACUGUAAUCCCAGCAGAGGAUUUGGGAGGCAGAGGCAGGUGCAUCUCUGAGUUCCAGGUCAGCCUGGUCUCUUACGGAGUGAGUUCCGAGACAAGCCAGGGCUGUUUCCCAGAGAAACCUUGUCAAAAAAACAAAACAAAACAAAACAAAACAAAACAAAACAAAAACAACAGCAACAACAAAACAACAACAACAAAAAAAAAAAAAAAACAAGCAAGCAAACAAACAGACAGACAGACAAAUGUUGUAGCCACCACUGGCCUCCCAGGGUGGACAUGAAACUCAAAGUAUUUUAGAAUAACCUUUCUAAACUGGGUGGUAUGAGUCCGGAGAAUUGCCAAAAGUCAAGGCUAGUCUGGUUUACAUUGUAAGAUUCAGGCCAGCCAUAGCUAUAUGUAGCAAAACCUUAGAAGGGGGUAAAUAUGAAAGAAAAAAGUGGGGAACUUUUUUACGAUUUUUAACUAUGUACACAAUUCAUCAACACAGGCGUGUGCACAUGUACAUGUCUACCAAUGUGCAUGUGUGUUUGUGGGUGGGAGGGCAGAGGUUAACAAGUCUCUCUCUCUGUCUCUCUCUCUCUCUCUCUCUCCCCCACCCUCCCUCCCUCCCUCUCCCUCUUUCUUUCUCUCUCCCUCUCCCUAUCCCUCCCCCCUCUUUUCCUCCAUCCCUUCCUCCCUCUGUGUGUGUGUGUCUGUUUGUCUGUCUGUCUGUCUUUUUGAGACAAGGUCUCACUACGCAGCUGUAGUUAGCCUCUAACUCCCUGUGUGAACCAAGUCUGCCUCAAAUUCAUGGAGACCAACUUGCCUCUGGCUUCUCAGUGCUGGGAUUGAAGGCAUGCACUGUGCCCAUUUUCCGUUUGAAAUAGUAUCAUUGCACGGGACAUUCACUGUUUGGCUAGACUAACUGCUCAGCAAGCUCUAAGAACUCACCUGUCAUCACCUGUAAGCACUAGGGGUAUGGCUACCUGUGGCCAUGCCUAGUUUUUUACCUGGGUGUUGGGGACCUGAGCUCAGUUACUAACUAAGCCAUCUCCCUAGCCCCUUUACCAACAGUUUUUUUUUAAUUACUUUUUUUUUACAGUCUAGUCAUUGCCCUCCUCCCCAUCCUCCCUUCCACAGUUCCUCAUCCCAUUCUUCCUCUCUCUGUCUCCAAGAGAAUGCCCCCCUCUCCCCGCCAGGCCUCCCCACUCCCUGGGGCCUCAAGUCUCUCAAGGGUUAGGUGCAUCUUCUCCCACUGAGCCCAGACCAGGCAGUCUUCUGCUCUAUAUGUGUCAGGGAGGGGGCUUAGACCAGCUCUUGUAUGCUUCCUGGUUCUUUACCAACACUUUUAAAAUAAAAUAUAGACUUGCAUCUGCUCUGGAGUAAAGUUGAGGCCCAGUAAGAACCUGCUCUCUCUUGCUCUUUUUUUUCUGGGAUGUGCCAGCAUCCCAGCACAGCCCCCUUAGUCCUAUACCCCAUCCCUGCAAGGUAUGCUUGGUUUCUCCUAGACUUUGCUGGGAUUAACUUGAACCUGAUCUCCCAAAGCGAUAAGGAGGGAUAAUGGGGAGAUAUCAUAUUUUUCAUAUAUUAUUAAGUUAGAGAUGGUCUUUUCCACUUAUAUGGACUGCCUAUGAGAUUUUCUGUCCACUGAAACCAAAGGAAAGUCACACGUUAGUCUUUCCUAGCCAGGGAAAAUGGCCUUUUGAUCCCAGGAAGGAUUUCUUAGUCUCCUGUGAAGUGUCUGUCACCACACUUUUAAGGGUUCCUAGACUAGCUAUCCUAUGCCCACAGGGCCCUUGAGCCUGAGCCCACCAUGCUGACAAUGAAUGGCUGUGCUGUUUCCUAAGUCAGGCUUCAAAGCAAUCUGGGUAGAGGGGUUUGGGGGAAGGGCUAGGACACCAGACCUAGAGCGAAGUCUCUGGAGGUUCAGACCCUGACUUCCUGUAAUAAGUUGAUUCAUCCGCCACAGGCGUGCUCUCGUAAGAGUUAGUGAGCUCUGUGGAUUUAAGAGUAAAAAUGAAACUCUUCAAGUUCCUCUUCUUUGGUCCUCAGGUCCUGGUGGUAAACCCCCUCCCCACUCUGAGUCAGUUUCAGAGUCGUGGUAUCAAGGCAGAAGUACUGGUGUCUGGGCAGCUCAUCAUCUCCGGGGCAGGCAGGAUGCCCCUGCUCACACACCUCCAGCAGGGCAGAGUUCCACUGAUGCCAUAGAGUUGGGCUCAGAGCCAAGAUGAGGCCAUUCUUGCCCCUGCCAAACAAUAAGUUCAACUGUUCACUUGAGUGGAUUGGUCCACUAACUAACCCAGUAUGGCCAUCCAGGAGAUGGAAACCCUGAGCGGGUAAACUGUAGGGACUUCCGAGUCUCCGGGUGUUAGAGGAUGCAAGCUGAGUCUGUAAGGGUUCCUACUUCUUAUACCAGAAAGCCUCCCAGGGGCUUUCUGAGUAGAUGGUUACAAUUGUUCUUUGUAAGGUGACAUUCACACUUUUUUUUUUUAACUUACUGGAAACAGCGUGUGCAUGUGAAUGAAAAGAGACAAGCUGAGGCGGAAGUGGCUGGCGCCUGAGCUCUGGCCUCUCCAGAUUCUCCUGGGCCCACAGUGUCAGGUCGCUCACAGCCCUUUCCAGCCUCUACCUUACCAUGGAGUGUCUGUUGGCCUUACCUCUUCCCUACCCUCUUAGUGUUCUAUCAGUGCUUCCGCAUCUCAGUUAGCAAGCUCCUAAUGGAUGUCAAGUAUGCCUGCCCAUCAGCAAGCGCUGGCCUGAACGAGCACAGGGUGAAACCUCAAUCGAAAUCUUCAAGUAGGCGGGGCCACUGAACCCUGCCCCUCCCUCUUACCCUAACUGUAUAGAAGAAUCCUGGAGAAGCAGAUUCUUCCUGAUGGCCCAACAGAACGUUCCAGAAUCUCUAGUCCAGUUGGCAUUGGUUGGCCUUGGUAUAAAUAAACUGUAAGCCUAACAGUGAGGAGGCUGAGGCAGGAGGAUUUCCUAGACUUCCAUAGUAAGUGUGAGGCUGGCCUGGGUUAGAGUAUAAGUCCCCAUCUCAACAAAACCAAACAUAAAUGGAAAAAACGUAAUUCUAUUUGUCGCACCCUGUUAGGAAGGAAGGACCAUUGAGAAGGAGCAUCCUUAGCAGUCACAGAAAAGGGGCCCAGAUGUGGGGACCACCUACACAGAAUAGUGGGCUGAGGGGGAGUAGAGUCUGGCUCUGACACUUCUUGGGGACCUAGCCAGAUGCAUGACCUUGAACAAGCCUUCCCAUCUCCCACAUUUACUUUCUUCAACCGGACACAGGGAUGGCAAGCUCUGUCCAUGUCUUGGUAUCACAGAGAGCACCUGUGUGUGCCUGUGUGCUUAAUGCCAGUUUACGCUGCAGGUCCUCCAACACCGAAGAGCCCACCUUCCACCCAGCCCGGUAGAAGGAGAGGGAGAAGGGGCUCUCAGUUUUUGCCUGGCUGCUCACUUGAAAUUAAUCAAUGCAACAACGUUGGGAGCUGGGACUCCUCCCUCUGAAUAGCCCCUCCAGUCAGCUCCCUGCCCUUCCCUGUGCCCUGGGGAAGCAAAGUGGUGGGCUGCUGUCUGUGCCAGGCUGACCUGGACACCCCAAAGUACAACUGAGGGAGAGAGAAAGACCCAGGAGAGCCAAGGCGACCUUGGUAUGUAAACCCCCUGAGAAUAGCUGGACCCCAGGUGCAGCCCUGCCCAUGCCUGCAAGUGUCUGGGUUCAGGGAGGCUGAGUGACUGCCGUGCUAGGUGCAUACUGCAUGCCAGGCAGUGUCCUAACCUUCCUGAUUGCGUCCCAUCAGCUACACGGUGCAGGUUGGGUUGUUGCUGUUUUACAGAUCAGACCCAGGGCUCGGGGGUGGUUUCCUACGGCCCCCUAGGACAAAGUAAGCAGAUGCAACAGUUUAAAUCCACAUAUUUCUUAUGACUAUGGAGGUUAGAAGUCUAAAAUCAAGGUGUUAGGGGCGGGCGUUCUUGGAGGUUUCAAGAAUUCAUCUAGUUGGUAUUUCUGUUGAAGCUGCUUGCAUUCCUUGGCUUGGGACCAAUUUUUCUCACUUCAGGACAUGACACUAACUUCUAGUAUCAAGGCCAGCUCGGCUCUUGAUGUCACCGUGCUCCUUUAUCACUGUUUGAUAAGCUCUUCUGUGAUUGCAAUGUGGCCAUGCCAAGACUCUUCUCUUUCCCUAUGUCACCCAACUGGAGAAUAGACAUUCUUAGUCAGGGGUGGCUUGGGUGCCUGGCCCCUCCCUCCAGAGUUGGGUAUAAUAGUCUUUCUGUCCCAACAUCAGCAAUUGUCACCCACAACACUGGUGGCUUUGCUCAUAGGCCGUUCUCUCUGUCUCUGUGUCUCUCUGUCUUUCUCUCUCUCUGUCUCUCUCUCUGUCUCUCUGUCUCUCUCUGUCUCUGUUUCUCUCUGUGUCUCUGUCUCUGUCUCUCUGUCUCUCUCUGUCUCUCUCUCUCUCUCUCUCUCACACACACACACACACACACACACACACACACACACUACUCCCCAACCAGGGCAAGGGUCAGCCCAGCAGCUGCCUGCCUGUAGUCAGGACUGACAGAGGAGCAGGCUCUCAGGUAGCUUCUGGUGACAAGUAGGAACUACAAAAUUGUUUUCCACCCCUCUGUUCUCUAAGCAGUUCUCAGCAUCAGGCCACCUCUUCCUAAUGCCCCAAGGUUCAUCCUCCUAGACUGAUUCCUUCUUUCUUUUAAUGAGCAUUUGCCGUGUAGCUACUUUACCCUAGGCUCCAGGGACAUGGGAUAGAACCACACAGACCUUCCCUGGGACGCUAAGAGCCCAUUCAGCAAAACAAAUGCUUACACCAGAUUGACAGCAUGUUCCGGGAGGGGGCUCGUGCUCAGUCCUCAGUCGUCUCAUACACGUAGGAGGUGUCAGGAAUACCAACACUGGCAAGCAUGCCAAGUCUUGGAAAUGUGCAGUCCAUCCGGACAAUGCAACAUUGUGCUCCGCUAAAUUCCUUUUCUUUUUUUCAGAGAUGGUCUAACUGAGUCAUCCUGGCUGGCCUGGAACUCAAUAUGCACACCAGGCUAGCCUCAAACGCCACAGAGAUCUGCCUGCUUCUGCCUCCUGUAUGCUGGGAUUAAAGGUGUGGGCUACUAUGCACAGCGAACUAAACGAAAUAAUAAGUAACAGGGACUUCUUUCAAUGAUAAAUGGAACAGAAAGUGUCACUGGAUCUUCCUCCCAGGGGUGUCUCAGGAGCUGCUCUGCCAACCAGUGCUUCACAGAGAGGUGCAAAGGUGGGUGUGGCUUCCUGACUGGCCAGGUCACAGGUAAUCUGAGCCACCACUGUGCUUGACCUAAGGACAUCAGGCAGAGCAAGGAUUGCCUCCCACAAGAAGUUGGGGACACAACCUGGAACUGAUCACUAAAGCAUAGAAGAUGCUUUAUAAACAAAGUGUAGUGGCUAUUCCUGGUUGUUAAAUUGACUAUAUCUGGAAUGAACUACAAUCCAAAAUUGGAAGGCUCACCAGUGACCCUAAUCUGGAAGCUGGGAGAUAGAAGUUUCUUACCUGGAUCUUGGUAUGGAGAUCUUGAGGCAUAGUGGCUAUGGAUUCCAGAAGAUUAAGACAGGGAGAUCUCCAAGUUGAAGGUCAUCUGGGAUUAAAGGUGUGGUGGGCUACACCUUCUGCUGGAGACCAUAUAAGGACAUUGGAAGAAGGGAGUCUCUCUCUCUCUCUCUCUCUCUCUCUCUCUCUCUCUCUCUCUCUCUCUCUCUCUUUCUCUCUCUGUCCUUCGCCUGCUUGCCAUGUGGGAAUGAGCAAGUGCUAGAUCCUUUGACUUCCAUUCACAGCUGCUGCUGACCAUUGUUGGGAGUUGGACUGCAGACUGUGAGUCACCAAUAAAUUCCUUUACUAUAUAGAGACUACCCAUAAGUUCUGUGACUCUAGAGAACCCUGCCUAAUACAGAAGUUGGUACCAGGAGUGGGGUAUUCCUGUGCCAAUUUGACCAUGUUUUGGGGACGACUGUGGAAGGACUUUGGAACUUUGGGCUAGAAGAUCCAUUUGGUGUUAAGAGCUCUGUGGGAAGUUGUGUAGGAACUUGGAAGAUAAUAUUGAGAACAGUGCAGAAAAUGGAGGCCUGACUUGUGAAAUUUCAGAGGGAAAAUUAAAGACUCUUUUCAAGGCCAUUGCUAUUUUGAUUGUGAAGAUUCUGUAGUUCUGGUUAGCUGGGGCUGAAGAAUCCGCUGUGAUUAACAAGAUACCAGAACUACUAAAGUGAAAACGUUGCAUUACUGGAAUUAUUGAUGCUGGUUAGCUGGAGCUAAGAAAUUAGCUGUGAUUAAGAAGAGACCAGCGGGCUGGUGAGAUGGCUCAGUGGGUAAGAGCACCCGACUGCUCUUCUGAAGGUCCGAAGUUCAAAUCCCAGCAAUCACAUGGUGGCUUACAACCAUCUGUAAUGAGAUCUGACUCCCUCUUCUGGAGUGUCUGAAGACAGCUACAGUGUACUUAUAUAUAAUAAAAAUAAAUAAAUCUUAAAAAAAAAAAAAGAAGAGACCAGCAUCAUUGAAGUGACAUCUUCUGGAAGUGUUUUCUGAAAGCACAAAGAGGCUGUGUUCCAGAGAUAGCCAAGGUUGUACAUCAUGCUGCAGCAGGACUUGGUAAUGUGUAAGAGUCACCCAGAUAGUACUGAUUUUGAAGGGGUCAUGCAGAGCAGCUGAGGCUUGGCACUCUGAGAGGCCAUGGAAGGCCGUUUGUGAAGGUGCAGCCUCAGUUGAAAUUGAUGGUCCAGGACUGAAGGGGUCAUGCAGUGUUUUGGAGAUGCCAGUACCAUGAGAUGACCACCAAGAGCAGCAGCAGUAAUGGAGUACAGGCAGCUGGAGCCUAGAAGACAACAUGUGUGCUACAGAUGGCAUGGCUGGAGAAGUGACCCAAGCUCUUGGAGGAGCCCAGAAGAUCGUGAGUUGGAUCCCAGACAUUGGAUGGUUGGAGAAUGAUUUUUGCUUUUGAUUGUGACUGUGCCCUGAUAUUUUUCCCUCUUGAAAGAAGGUAUUGUAGUGGAACCCACAGUUAAAGACUUUUAAUUGUAAAAAGACUUUGGAUUUUUAAAGAUAUUGGAUAUUUUUAAAGGAUUGAACUUUUAAUAUGUAAAGACUGUGGGACAUUUAAAGUUGUUUAGAUCUUGGGGAUGAAUAAGAAACUAAGGGUUGAGGCUUACUAGUGAUGUGUUUGUGUGCCAAGUUGACAAGGGGUCAAUUGUACUGGCUGGUUUUAUGUGUCAUCUUGACACAGGCUGGAGUUAUCACCAGGAGUUUCAUUUGGGGAAGUGUCUCCAUGAGAUCCAGCUGGGGGGAGGGAGGGCCCCUUGUGGGUGGGAGCAUCCCUGGGCUGGUAGUCUUGGGUUUUAUAAGAGACCAGGCUGAGCAAGCCAAGGGAAGCAAGCCAGUAAGGAACAUCCCUCCAUGGCUUCUGCAUCAGCUCCUGCUUUCUGACCUGUCUGAGUUCCAGUCCUGACUUCCCUUGGUGAUGAACAGCAGUAUGGAAGUAUAAGCUGAAUAAACCCUUUCCUUCCCAACUUGCUUCUUGGUCAUGAUGUUUUGUCCAGGAAUAGAAACCCUGACUAAGACACAAAGCAAAUGGAGUUGAGGCUGGGUACCCUCUUUGCCCACAGCUCACCUCCUGAAAGGAUAUUUUCAUUCACACUCGCACACACAAACAGACACCUGUUCAUAUAUAUGUUUGGCUGGGGAUUGUUGUGUUUGUUGGUUGUUGGUUUGAGUUUUUAGAGACAGUCUCAUUGUAUGACAACUCGUUAAGUAGAUAAAGUUAGCCUUAAACCUAGCAGUGAUCCUAGCCUGUGUCUAGAGUUGGGAUUACAGGUUGUGCCUCCCUGAUGCUUGGUUCAUGAGCUUCCCCCCACACCCUAGUUGCUUAGGUCUAAAGGAUAAAUCUACUUGUUGCUUGGCCCAUCUUAGCCAGAAAUGCCACCCAAUCUGCUUCUGUUGACUCCCUAGUGUUGUGAUCGUGGUUAGUAAGUGAUGUGGUUUGAUUGGCACCCCAAGAACCAGGAUGAAAGUGUAACUGUGUUGGUUGGGUCAGGUCAGGGGACUUUCCACUGUUACAGUAUGAUUAGCUUUAAAGUAAUUGUCACGUAUACCCAAGUGUAAGGAACAUGGGCAAGCCCUGCUUUCCUUCUGCCUGGCAGCCCCCACAUAGCUGGCUGAGGUUACUUGCUCAAGCUGCCAACUCUGAGGUAGGCAUAUCACUGUGUAAGCCACUGGGCAGAGUAUGUAUGCUGACCUCAACAGUGAAUGUAAGUUACUCUGCCAGACAUAUUCAAUUGUAGAUUCCUGCUAGGCAUGGUGGUAUGC
rnacentral:lncRNA from 1 species